rnacentral:rRNA from 1 species
UACGUAGGGGGCUAGCGUUGUCCGGAAUCAUUGGGCGUAAGGCGCGUGUAGGCGGUUCGGUAAGUCCGCUGUGAAAGUCGGGGGCUCAACCCUCGAAAGCCGGUGGAUACUGUCGGGCUAGAGUACGGAAGAGGCGAGUGGAAUUCCUGGUGUAGCGGUGAAAUGCGCAGAUAUCAGGAGGAACACCGAUGGCGAAGGCAGGUCUCUGGGCAUUAACUGACGCUGAGGAGCGAAAGCAUGGGGAGCGAACAGG